rnacentral:rRNA from 1 species
AUACAGAGGGUGCGAGCGUUAAUCGGAAUUACUGGGCGUAAAGCGCGCGUAGGCGGUUACUUAAGUCAGAUGUGAAAUCCCCGGGCUCAACCUGGGAACUGCAUCUGAUACUGGGUAGCUAGAGUUUAGGAGAGGGAAGUAGAAUUUCAGGUGUAGCGGUGAAAUGCAUAGAGAUCUGAAGGAAUACCGGUGGCGAAGGCGGCUUCCUGGCCUAAAACUGACGCUGAGGUGCGAAAGCGUGGGUAGCAAACGGGAUUAGAUACCCUAGUAGUCC